UCCUAACAAUCACAAUGGUGUGAUUGACUAAGCCAGAUAGGAGGUUUAUAUG
rnacentral:ncRNA from 1 species